rnacentral:rRNA from 1 species
UACGAAGGGGGCUAGCGUUGUUCGGAUUUACGUGGGCGUAAAGCGCACGUAGGCGGACUAUUAAGUCAGGGGGUGAAAUCCCGGAGCUCAACUCCGGAACUGCCUUUGAUACUGGCGAUCUUGAGUUCGAGAGAGGUGAGUGGAACUGCGAGUGUAGAGGUGAAAAUUCGUAGAUAUUCGCAAGAACACCAGUGGCGAAGGCGGCUCACUGGCUCGAUACUGACGCUGAGGUGCGAAAGCGUGGGGGAGCAAACAGG